GUUAAGUCAAUGAUGGGGAAAACAGUGGACACUUCCGUAUAAGAGAGUUGAUGGAUGGUGCAAAUCAACCGAAGUACACUUGAUAUUCCACCCUUGAGACGUUGGCGAUGAGCCAAACCGCCGCAACGGUUAUUGCAAUGAGUGAGUUAGGUUUUCUAACUAAUCUAGGUGGCACCACGGGUAUAAUCUCUCGUCCUUAAU
rnacentral:ncRNA from 1 species